rnacentral:rRNA from 1 species
CAGCAGCCGCGGUAAUACGUAGGGUGCAAGCGUUGUCCGGAAUUAUUGGGCGUAAAGAGCUCGUAGGCGGCUUGUCGCGUCGGCUGUGAAAACCUGGGGCUCAACCCCGGGCCUGCAGCCGAUACGGGCAAGCUAGAAUUCGGUAGGGGAGACUGGAAUUCCUGGUGUAGCGGUGAAAUGCGCAGAUAUCAGGAGGAACACCGGUGGCGAAGGCGGGUCUCUGGGCCGAUAUUGACGCUGAGGAGCGAAAGCGUGGGGAGCGAACAGGAUUAGAUACCCUGGUAGUCCACGCCGUAAACGU